rnacentral:misc_RNA from 1 species
CGAAAUGCGAUAAGUAAUGUGAAUUGCAGAAUUCAGUGAAUCAUCGAAUCUUUGAACGCACCUUGCGCUCCUUGGUAUUCCUUGGAGCAUGCCUGUUUGAGUAUCAUGAAAUCUUCAAAGUAAAUCUUUUGUUAACUCAAUUGGUUUCUACUUUGGUAUUGGAGGUCUUUGCAGCUUCACACCUGCUCCUCUUUGUUCAUUAGCUGGAUCUCAGUGUUAUGCUUGGUUCCACUCGGCGUGAUAAGUUAUCUAUCGCUGAGGACACUGUAAAAGGUGGCCAAGGUAAAUGCAGAUGAACCGCUUCUAAUAGUCCAUUGACUUGGACAAUACUUUUAUGAUCUGAUCUCAAAUCAGGUAGGACUACCCGCUGAACUUAUGC